ACUGCCAACUGCUCGCAUGGGAUCCUGAAGUUCUAAGUGAGAGCAAGAAAGCUUGCCACUAUGUAAAGGAAAAUGAACAAUGGGAACUCCUGGAUGACCCCAUGCAGAGCUCCAUGUGUGACUGCUGUUCUAGGACCUGCAACACUCGCUCCAAGAGAGGAGACGAAUGGGAAUCCAACGGCUUCAUGCACACUU